CGGUGUAGAGAUACACCUUCCCUUCGGGGCACGAUAGACAGGUGGUGCAUGGUUGUCGUCAGCUCGUGUCGUGAGAUGUUGGGUUAAGUCCCGCAACGAGCGCAACCCUUGAUCUGUGUUACCAGCGCGUAGAGGCGGGGACUCACAGAUGACUGCCGGUGACAAACCGGAGGAAGGCGGGGAUGACGUCAAAUCAUCAUGCCCCUUAUGUCCUGGGCAACACACGUGCUACAAUGGGCGGUACAACGGGAAGCGAAGCUGCGAAGUGGAGCGAACCCCGAAAAGCCGUUCGUAGUUCGGAUUGUAGGCUGCAACUCGCCUGCAUGAAGCCGGAAUUGCUAGUAAUCGCGGAUCAGCAUGCCGCGGUGAAUACGUUCCCGGGCCUUGUACACACCGCCCGUCACACCACGAGAGUGGGUAACACCCGAAGUCGGUGAGGUAACCCGCAAGGGAGCCAGCCGCCGAAGGUGGGAUUCGCGAUUGGGGUGAAGUCGUAACAAGGUAGCCGUAUCGGAAGGUGCGGCUGGAUCACCUCCUUU
rnacentral:rRNA from 1 species